UAAUACGUAGGUGGCAAGCGUUGUCCGGAUUUAUUGGGUUUAAAGGGUGCGUAGGCGGUCUAUUAAGUCAGUGCUGAAAUACUCCAGCUUAACUGGAGGGGUGGCAUUGAUACUGAUGGACUUGAGUACAGAUGAGGUAGGCGGAAUUGACGGUGUAGCGGUGAAAUGCAUAGAUAUCGUCAAGAACACCGAUAGCGAAGGCAGCUUACUGGGCUGUAACUGACGCUGAUGCACGAAAGUGUGGGGAUCAAACAGGAUUAGAUACCCUGGUAGUCCACACUGUAAACGUUGAUUACUCGCUGUUUGCGAUACACAGCAAGCGGCUUAGCGAAAGCGAUAAGUAAUCCACCUGGGGAGUACGCCGGCAACGGUG
rnacentral:rRNA from 1 species